UACAGAGGUCUCAAGCGUUGUUCGGAUUCAUUGGGCGUAAAGGGUGCGUAGGCGGCGCGGUAAGUCGGGUGUGAAAUCUCGGAGCUUAACUCCGAAACUGCAUUCGAUACUGCCGUGCUUGAGGACUAGAGAGGAGACUGGAAUUUACGGUGUAGCGGUGAAAUGCGUAGAUAUCGUAAGGAAGACCAGUGGCGAAGGCGGGUCUCUGGACAGUUCCUGACGCUGAGGCACGAAGGCCAGGGGAGCAAACGGG
rnacentral:rRNA from 1 species